UGUUUCUUGCUUGUGUCACUAGAUA
rnacentral:piRNA from 1 species